GCCUGUGCUCACGGUACUAAUGAGGUGGGAGCUCCUGCACCGGAAACCAGUCGGACGAACGUUCCCACCACAAAAGCUACCUGAAGCACUGGCACUUCGAAGGCAUCCAUUCAGCAAAAUCUAAACUGACCGGGGGAUAAGGAAACAAAGAAGCCAUCUGCUGAUUAUUGAUUAAGUCCAGGACAGGCCUUCGGUUCCUGAGGUGAGGAAGAAAUACCUGGAAGCGAGAACAAAAUCUACUUUGCUUGCUCAGACUCAGACUGCUACAGGGUGAGAAGGAUUUUACACAAGGAGACUCUAUUCCUGGCUGUGAAGUUGGAACGGCUGCUCCACAAGGAAUGUGGGAGGUCUCUCGGAGCUGAGAAUGACCCCAAGUGAACAGCCAGCGGGUUUAGGACCUCAGUCCUACAACCACAAGGAAUUUAAUUCUGCCACAGCCAUGGGAGCUGAGAAGAGGACCCCAGGCUCCGGAUGAGAAGGCACAAAAUGGUUUUUCAUUAAUCGAUGCCAACCCUAUCUCGAUCCUUUCACACAGGUAUGCUCUGCUUUUGCCAGCUCUUAAAAUACCUCUCCUUUCUUUUCUCCAUACUCUCUAUACCAGGCCUUCUUCCAGUUCAAAGUCUGUAACAAUACUCUUACCCGCCAAAUCAUAAAGG